rnacentral:siRNA from 1 species
UCUGUGGAUUCCGAGGGUGUCG